GAUGAACGCUAGCGGCAGGCCUAACACAUGCAAGUCGAGGGGUAGAGGAAGCUUGCUUCCUUGAGACCGGCGCACGGGUGCGUAACGCGUAUGCAAUCUACCUUUUACAGAGGGAUAGCCCAGAGAAAUUUGGAUUAAUACCUCAUAGUAUAUAUCAUUCGCAUGUUUGGUAUAUUAAAGUUCCAACGGUAAAAGAUGAGCAUGCGUCCCAUUAGUUAGUUGGUAAGGUAACGGCUUACCAAGACGAUGAUGGGUAGGGGUCCUGAGAGGGAGAUCCCCCACACUGGUACUGAGACACGGACCAGACUCCUACGGGAGGCAGCAGUGAGAAAUAUUGGUCAAUGGACGCAAGUCUGAACCAGCCAUGCCGCGUGCAGGAAGACGGUCCUAUGGAUUGUAAACUGCUUUUGUACGGGAAGAAACACUCCUACGUGUAGGAGCCUGACGGUACCGUAAGAAUAAGGAUCGGCUAACUCCGUGCCAGCAGCCGCCGCAGUAA
rnacentral:rRNA from 1 species